GUGGCCGCCGGUCCCUCCCGGCCGCCGGGCGCGGGUCGGGCCGUCCGCCUCCUCGCGGGCGGGCGCGACGAAGAAGCGUCGCGGGUCUGUGGCGCGGGGCCCCGGUGGUCGUGUCGCGUGGGGGGCGGGUGGUUGGGGCGUCCGGUUCGCCGCGCCCCGCCCCGGCCCCACCGGUCCCGGCCGCCGCCCCCGCGCCCGCUCGCUCCCUCCCGUCCGCCCGUCCGCGGCCCGUCCGUCCGUCCGUCCGUCGUCCUCCUCGCUUGCGGGGCGCCGGGCCCGUCCUCGCGAGGCCCCCCGGCCGGCCGUCCGGCCGCGUCGGGGCCUCGCCGCGCUCUACCUUACCUACCUGGUUGAUCCUGCCAGUAGCAUAUGCUUGUCUCAAAGAUUAAGCCAUGCAUGUCUAAGUACGCACGGCCGGUACAGUGAAACUGCGAAUGGCUCAUUAAAUCAGUUAUGGUUCCUUUGGUCGCUCGCUCCUCUCCUACUUGGAUAACUGUGGUAAUUCUAGAGCUAAUACAUGCCGACGGGCGCUGACCCCCUUCGCGGGGGGGAUGCGUGCAUUUAUCAGAUCAAAACCAACCCGGUCAGCCCCUCUCCGGCCCCGGCCGGGGGGCGGGCGCCGGCGGCUUUGGUGACUCUAGAUAACCUCGGGCCGAUCGCACGCCCCCCGUGGCGGCGACGACCCAUUCGAACGUCUGCCCUUUGUACACACCGCCCGUCGCUACUACCGAUUGGAUGGUUUAGUGAGGCCCUCGGAUCGGCCCCGCCGGGGUCGGCCCACGGCCCUGGCGGAGCGCUGAGAAGACGGUCGAACUUGACUAUCUAGAGGAAGUAAAAGUCGUAACAAGGUUUCCGUAGGUGAACCUGCGGAAGGAUCAUUAACGGAGCCCGGAGGGCGAGGCCCGCGGCGGCGCCGCCGCCGCGCGCUUCCCUCCGCACACCCACCCCCCCACCGCGACGCGGCGCGUGCGCGGGCGGGGCCCGCGUGCCCGUUCGUUCGCUCGCUCGUUCGUUCGCCGCCCGGCCCCGCCGGCCGCGAGAGCCGGAGAACUCGGGAGGGAGACGGGGGAGAGAGAGAGAGAGAGAGAAAGAGAAAGAAGGGCGUGUCGUUGGUGUGCGCGUGUCGUGGGGCCGGCGGGCGGCGGGGAGCGGUCCCCGGCAGCGGCCCCGACGGCGUGGGUGUCGGCGGGCGCGGGGGCGGUUCUCGGCGGCGUCGCGGCGGGUCUGGGGGUCUCGGUGCCCUCCUCCCCGCCGGGGCCCGUCGUCCGGCCCCGCCGCGCCGGCUCCCCGUCUUCGGGGCCGGCCGGAUUCCCGUCGCCUCCGCCGCGCCGCUCCGCGCCGCCGGGCACGGCCCCGCUCGCUCUCCCCGGCCUUCCCGCUAGGGCGUCUCGAGGGUCGGGGGCCGGACGCCGGUCCCCUCCCCCGCCUCCUCGUCCGCCCCCCCGCCGUCCAGGUACCUAGCGCGUUCCGGCGCGGAGGUUUAAAGACCCCUUGGGGGGAUCGCCCGUCCGCCCGUGGGUCGGGGGCGGUGGUGGGCCCGCGGGGGAGUCCCGUCGGGAGGGGCCCGGCCCCUCCCGCGCCUCCACCGCGGACUCCGCUCCCCGGCCGGGGCCGCGCCGCCGCCGCCGCCGCGGCGGCCGUCGGGUGGGGGCUUUACCCGGCGGCCGUCGCGCGCCUGCCGCGCGUGUGGCGUGCGCCCCGCGCCGUGGGGGCGGGAACCCCCGGGCGCCUGUGGGGUGGUGUCCGCGCUCGCCCCCGCGUGGGCGGCGCGCGCCUCCCCGUGGUGUGAAACCUUCCGACCCCUCUCCGGAGUCCGGUCCCGUUUGCUGUCUCGUCUGGCCGGCCUGAGGCAACCCCCUCUCCUCUUGGGGGGGGGCGGGGGGACGUGCCGCGCCAGGAAGGGCCUCCUCCCGGUGCGUCGUCGGGAGCGCCCUCGCCAAAUCGACCUCGUACGACUCUUAGCGGUGGAUCACUCGGCUCGUGCGUCGAUGAAGAACGCAGCUAGCUGCGAGAAUUAAUGUGAAUUGCAGGACACAUUGAUCAUCGACACUUCGAACGCACUUGCGGCCCCGGGUUCCUCCCGGGGCUACGCCUGUCUGAGCGUCGCUUGCCGAUCAAUCGCCCCCGGGGGUGCCUCCGGGCUCCUCGGGGUGCGCGGCUGGGGGUUCCCUCGCAGGGCCCGCCGGGGGCCCUCCGUCCCCCUAAGCGCCGCCGCCGCCCGCGAAGACGGAGAGGGAAAGAGAGAGCCGGCUCGGGCCGAGUUCCCGUGGCCGCCGCCUGCGGUCCGGGUUCCUCCCUCGGGGGGCUCCCUCGCGCCGCGCGCGGCUCGGGGUUCGGGGUUCGUCGGCCCCGGCCGGGUGGAAGGUCCCGUGCCCGUCGUCGUCGUCGUCGCGCGUCGUCGGCGGUGGGGGCGUGUUGCGUGCGGUGUGGUGGUGGGGGAGGAGGAAGGCGGGUCCGGAAGGGGAAGGGUGCCGGCGGGGAGAGAGGGUCGGGGGAGCGCGUCCCGGUCGCCGCGGUUCGCCGCCCGCCCCCGGUGGC
rnacentral:lncRNA from 1 species